CUACGGGAGGCAGCAGUGGGGAAUUUUGGACAAUGGGGGCAACCCUGAUCCAGCAAUGCCGCGUGUGUGAAGAAGGCCUUCGGGUUGUAAAGCACUUUUGUCCGGAAAGAAAACGCCGUGGUUAAUACCCGUGGCGGAUGA
rnacentral:rRNA from 1 species